rnacentral:rRNA from 1 species
AGAGUUUGAUCCUGGCUCAGAUUGAACGCUGGCGGCAGGCCUAACACAUGCAAGUCGAGCGGAAACGGCAGCAUUGAAGCUUCGGUGGAUUUGCUGGACGUCGAGCGGCGGACGGGUGAGUAACGGCUGGGAACCUGCCCCGACGCGGGGGAUAACCGUUGGAAACGACGGCUAAUGCCGCAUAAUGUCUUAGUUCAUUACGAGCUGGGACCAAAGGUGGCCUCUACAUGUAAGCUAUCGCGUUGGGAUGGGCCCAGUUAGGAUUAGCUAGUUGGUAAGGUAAUGGCUUACCAAGGCGACGAUCCUUAGCUGGUUUGAGAGGAUGAUCAGCCACACUGGGACUGAGACACGGCCCAGACUCCUACGGGAGGCAGCAGUGGGGAAUAUUGCACAAUGGGGGAGACCCUGAUGCAGCCAUGCCGCGUGUGUGAAGAAGGCCUUCGGGUUGUAAAGCACUUUCAGCAGUGAGGAAGGUGGUGUACUUAAUAAGUGCAUGGCUUGACGUUAGCUGCAGAAGAAGCACCGGCUAACUCCGUGCCAGCAGCCGCGGUAAUACGGAGGGUGCGAGCGUUAAUCGGAAUUACUGGGCGUAAAGCGCAUGCAGGCGGUUUGUUAAGUCAGAUGUGAAAGCCCGGGGCUCAACCUCGGAACCGCAUUUGAAACUGGCAGGCUAGAGUCUUGUAGAGGGGGGUAGAAUUUCAGUGUAGCGGUGAAAUGCGUAGAGAUCUGAAAGGAAUACCAGUGGCGAAAGCGGCCCCUGGACAAAGACUGACGCUCAGAU